rnacentral:rRNA from 1 species
UACGAAGGGUGCAAGCGUUAAUCGGAAUUACUGGGCGUAAAGCGUGCGUAGACGGUAGCGUAAGUCAGAUGUGAAAGCCCCGGGCUCAACCUGGGAAUUGCAUUUGAGACUGCUCUGCUCGGGUGCGGAAGAGGGAAGCGGAAUUUCCGGUGUAGCGGUGAAAUGCGUAGAUAUCGGAAGGAACACCAGUGGCGAAAGCGGCUUCCUGGUCCGACACCGACGUUCAGGCACGAAAGCGUGGGGAGCAAACAGG